rnacentral:tRNA from 1 species
UGGCUCAGUUGGUAGAGCAUGGUGCUUGCAACACCAGGGUUGUGGGUUCGAUACGAUUCCCAC